GGAGAAAGCUGUGAGUUUCUGUGAAAAACAGGGGUUCUAAAGAAAUGAAGGAAAGGAUUAUCAUAGGGUUUGGCUGAGAAGAGGGGACAUGCUAGGCAAUUGGUGGCUUAAGUGAAUUUUCGGCAGCUCGACGGAGGUUCUGUCAAUUACCAAAACAAUUUUCUAAGAGGGAAAAAUAAGGGGAAGAAGGAUGAAUAGAGCACGAAAUUGCUGGGUUUUGGAAGCAAGAGAGGAAGCUUGCUCUCUGGAUGUGGUUGCGGAUGUAAAGAGUCGGUUACUCAACCCUUAGGUGUAUACUAGCCAUCAUGAAAAAAUUCGAUUUGCAUGAGCUCGUAGCAUGAAAUUCUUGGCAUUUGAUUGAAGCAUGGUGCGACGAACUUGGGGUAUCAUUUUGCUGCAAUGAUGACCAUGAUGGCUCAUGGCUUCUUCUCCCUACUUUUGGCAGCUGAAAUUGCUCGGUCUAAGAUUGUCACUUUCAUGAUGAUCGUAUUGCGUGGAAAGCUUGAAACUGUAAUUUCUGGUUCUUUAGAUGAUUGUAUCAAGUGUAAUGCUUGAGUUGCAUGGUUUUGGAGAUGGAGUGUUUCUUCUUGGCUUGGCAUGUUAUAAAGAGUUCCUUUUUGCUUGGCCUAGAUAUUUGCAUUUUUCUUGUGACAUUUUUGCUUCGCUAGGCAUGAUUUCUAUUGCAUCUCAGCCUGAUUUUUAUUGGAGCUUGAGAAUGAACAUCUACAAAAUCCUCUGGGCAUGGCUAAAUUGAGUAUUGGGUCUCUGCAUCUCUGUGUACAAUCUUCUUGUUGUUGUUGGUCUGCCUUGGGAAAGCCAGUAACCCCUUCAUUCUUUAGUAAGAGGUGUGGCAUGUUAGUUUGGCAAUAUCGCUUGGCAUGUUGUCUCUAUUUUUUUAUCUUUUUUUGGCAAGGGGUGAUCCCACACUUUUUUUUUUCUUUGUCUUUAUCUCAGCACCCGUGCUGCUCAUUUUUUUUCUUCUCCUUCAACUCUUUUUUCUCUUUUCAAGAUUCAAACCAAUGGGUACUGUGCAUCGGUACAUAAGUCAUAUUUCGGAAACUCAGAUCAAAACACUUCCUUGAUGAAAGUUGUUCAUCUGCUCGAGUACUAUAGCCUAUAAAAUUUGUAGAAUUUGUAGAAUUUUUUUGAUACCUCAAAGUUGGUCUGCAACUUCUGUGUUCAUCCAUGGCUGACUUGAUUGAGAGGCUCCAAAGCAUGAGAGUGUCAUCUUCUUACUAAUUUGCUAGGAAUUUGGUAGCAUGAAGGUAAGUUUUGGUUGCUUGCACCUUGACUUGCGAUAUGAAGGCUUUUAGAGGAUUUGCAAUUGGCAGAAUGUUUGAAAUCUGGCAUGUGCUGGAAGGAUGUUUGAAAUAGGGCAGGUGCUGGAAAUUCUUUGCUUAUGGAGUAGGUGCUAGAAGAAUGUAACUUGGCUUGUUUCAAAAGGGGAAAAUAGAAAACAUUUUGUCACCAUAAUGCAAGAUUAUCUAGGGUUGUUGUAAUGAAAGAGAUGAUUUAUAUUGUAUGGCAAAAAAGGUGGAUGGGCUUGCUUGUUUGGAUGGCAUGGUGUCCUUCCUUGAAUUUGCUUGGCAUAAAGUCCCCAGGUUAGCUUGUUGGGGUCAGCAAUUGGUUGCAAAGUUGGGUUAUAUUCUCUUUGGCUUACUUGGGGUCGAGAAACAGAGCAGAGGCCUGCUUGUAAAUUUUUUUUUUCCUGCAACUUGCUUCAAAGAAGAUCUUUGGAAGAAGCAGACUGAAGAUGAGAAAGAAGAGGCCAAGCGAGAAGUUGGAAGAGAUACAUACAGCUUAUUUUCCUCCAGAUAAGUAACAAACAGUUUGCUUUCCUCUAGGAGAAAACUGAAAUUUACAGUAGCUUCUGGAUUCUAGUCUCUCUCUUUUGCUUGGCAUGAAGCCCCCAAGUCAUUUGGAGUUUGCAUGUGCAGCUUGCUAUGAUGGAUUCACCUAAGCACCCAUAGGCCUCUUGCAAGAUGUUUUGUCUGAGAAGGUAUAUCUACAACAUAAGAGAAAAUAUUAGAAAUGCUUUUGCAUCCCCCUUUUUUUUAUUUAAAGAACAACAGAACAAAGCAAAAUCAAAGAGAAUGCUCUUGUCUUUAAAUUUUUCUGUAAUGCAGUUGUAUGAAUAAACCUUGUGAUUUUUCAAGAGCCA